GCUUAUCACCAUUCCAGAUUGAAUAUACCCGAUCUCGUCUGAUCUCGGAAGUCAAGCAAUCUCGG
rfam:Ciona savignyi cont_37882, whole genome shotgun sequence.